ACAGCCCAGGGCACUCUAGCAGGCUAGUCUGCUCAGUGACCUAAAUAUGGCUCCUAGGGUACAGGCAGGAGGGAGGAAGAGGCAUGCAAAGUGUGACCACCUCAGCCCUGGCCAGAUCUUCUCCACCCUCUUGCCCUCACUUCUUCCCAGGCCCAGUUCCACUAGGGGACACGUCGCCCAGCCUACCUGUGGGGUAGGUGGCUCUACUUUCCGUUUCUUCUUCUGGUUCUGCUUGUUGGUUCGAGGAUACACCAUGAGCAUCUCUAACCACCUGGGAAGACAGGAUGAGAAAUAGUACCAGGAAGCCUGGAUCUUAGAACUGUUCCAUGUCAGCUGAUAUUUCGGUCAGAUACUUGAGGCUGUGUGUGUGAAGGGAGUGAUUCCUACAACUUCACUAGAAUCCUAAAUCAAGAUUAUCUUCCCACAAGGACCUCAGAAACAAGUGUUCUUCAUUCACCCAUGGACAAGACACAUCGUAUUUCUGAGACAGAAAACUAUCGCUAUGAGGAUUGUGAGAACUGAGUGACAGAAGCUGUGCCGACAGCCAGUAGUGACCAGAUGAAAGGAACUGCAAAGGAUGCCUCUUCUUCUCUACUGCUGGAACUCUUUCCCAGUCCUUGGGAUUAAAACACUGACAAUGGCCAUGAUGGAUUUCAGACCUAUGUGAAUAGAUUAUGAACUAUGACACUAUAUCAUACAAAAAGAUGUUAAGUAGAGAUGAUAAAACAUAGCAACAAAAUUCCUGGUUAUUUUCUUCUCAAGGGAUUGGCCACCAGGAUGUUCAAGGAUUCAAUGUCACCAAACUGUUCAGGUCCCUACAGCCCAACUCCUCCAUUUUGCACAGCAACAGUCAGUACUAAAAUCUGGACAAUGAGCCAAAGAUGCAGUCUUACAGCUGAGUAUAGCCAUGGCCUCAGCCUUCAACCUCUCUACCUCCCUGACCUCAGCUCUACUUCCUUUAGAAAGGGUUUCAGAAUGGUCAAUAAAAGGCAAAGACAGCCAGGCAUGUAUGUUGGUGAAUACCUACAAUCCCAGAACUUGGGAAGUAAAGUAAGGAGGCCUUCUGAAAGUGAGGCCAACCAAGCUAGCCAGGGCUAGAUAGAGACAGUCUCUCAAAAAACAAAACCAGAAAGACAAACUAAGCCGGGACAGAAAGAAAUUAACACUCCCUUUUGAGUGGUGCUUUUGAUGCCCCCACUGGCCCCGUGCUAACCAGGAGGCAUUACUGGACCCUACCACACACUCAGGAAUCAACAAUCAGGAAACCUCACAAAAGGAAGGGGUAACUAGAGCCCAAGCCACUCACAGGACUUUCAUGAAGUGGGAACAAACUAUUCCCAAAUUAAAGCUUCUCAUUCACAGCUAAUUCCUCUUUAAUAGCAACUUUAUUGAGACAUAAUUUAUAUCACACAACUUACCUGUUUACAGAGUACAGUUCAAUGGUUAUUCAGCAUUUACAGAAUUGUACAAUACUCACCCCUACUGACCUCAGGCCUUUAGGCAUCAUUUCCCUCUGUCUCCCUCCAAUCCCUCUGCCUCAUCACCCAUCCAAUACUUUAUCUAAACGGAACCACACACAGGGUAAAGCCUUUUGUAUCUGGAAGCUCCUCCUUUCUUCACCGCACUCUGAAGUUUCAACAGCUUACUUUUGUCCAGGUGAAUCUAUCAUGUAGACAAG
rnacentral:lncRNA from 1 species